rnacentral:rRNA from 1 species
GACGAACGCUGGCGGCGUGCUUAACACAUGCAAGUCGAACGGAGCGAAUGAAAGCUUGCUUUUAUGAGCUUAGUGGCAAACGGGUGAGUAACACGUAGACAACCUGCCGACAGGAUGGGGACAACAUUCCGAAAGGAAUGCUAAUACCGAAUGAAGUCGAGGGAAGGCAUCUUCCUUCGAUGAAAGAUGGCCUCUGAACAUGCUAUCACCUGCCGAUGGGUCUGCGUCUGAUUAGCUGGUUGGUGAGGUAACGGCUCACCAAGGCGACGAUCAGUAGCCGGUCUGAGAGGAUGAACGGCCACAUUGGGACUGAGACACGGCCCAGACUCCUACGGGAGGCAGCAGUGGGGAAUCUUCCGCAAUGGGCGCAAGCCUGACGGAGCAACGCCGCGUGAGUGAAGAAGGUCUUCGGAUCGUAAAGCUCUGUUGACGGGGACGGG